rnacentral:rRNA from 1 species
UACAGAGGGUGCAAGCGUUGUUCGGAAUUAUUGGGCGUAAAGGGCGCGUAGGCGGCCUGGCAAGUGGAUGGUGAAAUCCCUCGGCUUAACCGAGGAACUGCCAUCCAGACUGCUUGGCUUGAGACCGGGAGAGGUGAGUGGAAUUCCCAGUGUAGCGGUGAAAUGCGUAGAUAUCUGGAGGAACACCGGUGGCGAAGGCGGCAUCCUGGACCGGCAUUGACGCUGAGGGAGCGAAAGCCAGGGGAGCAAAGCAGG